AACAAAACCCCUUCACUACGGAUCGUUCGGCACGUACCUGCCGAUGAAAGGAACCAUAA
rfam:Bifidobacterium gallicum DSM 20093 = LMG 11596 strain DSM 20093 B_gallicum-1.0.1_Cont3.1, whole genome shotgun sequence.